AACACAGUGAGCAGGAGAGAUAACACGUAUCAAGAUGAAGAUGUUCGGAAGGACGUUGCUGUUCGCCUUUUCUCUGCUGGUGUUCGCGUUGUCUGCGGUGGCCCAGUCCAACAAUGGCCGCGGACCCAACUCGCUCCUUGGCUUCAGGAGCAGAUUCGGCCACAGGGGGAGACUUGGACUUUUGAGGCCUCACUUUGAUAACCGGUUCUGGCACGAUUUUGACAUCCAUGGCUUCACGAGAACCGGAUAAAAGGCAGCCAUAAGAAACAAGGCGUUUGAAUCCAGCCCACCAAACCUCAGAGAUUUCAUAGAGAAAAUAAGGCCGUUUUAGGAAAAUUUCCCUACUUAUUGAAGGGAAUUUAGUAUUCUUUGUCCUACAUAUAUCAAGUUUCAGUAUACAUAACUUUGAUAUCGAAAAAGGCAAUUUAGAAAGGAGUAGAUUCUGCUUUUCCUAAAAAAGUUGAAAUCUGCACGAUCUUUCGCCCAUUAAUCUGCCUGUACUUGUCUAUGUUUCUAUAUUUUCUCCCUGUGUGUCUCUUUUCAUUCUUUUUAAUGAAAAUAUUGAUGAGAUGUAUCAUAGGAGAUCAUUCCGAAGAAAUGUUUAUGUCGUGUUUAUUAUAUGUGAUAUACAAAUGAUGUUAUUAUAUCUUUGUUAUUUAUAAAUAUACGUGUGAUUUUUAUUGUGAAUGUUUAUACGUAUGUGGAUACUUGUAUGAUAUAAAGUAUAAAAUAAGCCAAAAAUGUGUUUAUACGAUAGAUAUCAAAUUAGUGUAUAUACUGCAA